CUCAGGACGAACGCUGGCGGCGUGCUUAACACAUGCAAGUGGAGCGACGAAGCGGACUUCGGUCCGUGGCAGAGCCGCGAACGGGUGAGUAACACGUGGGUAACCCACCCCGAUGACCGGGACAACCCGAGGAAACUCGAGCUAAUACCGGAUGUUCUCCUUUCUCGUAAGGGAAAUGAGCAAAGAUAGCUUCGGCCUUCGCAUCGGGACGGGCCCGCGGCCCAUUAGCUUGUUGGUGGGGUAACGGCCUACCAAGGCGACGAUGGGUAGCUGGUCUGAGAGGACGAUCAGCCACACUGGGACUGAGACACGGCCCAGACUCCUACGG
rnacentral:rRNA from 1 species